rnacentral:rRNA from 1 species
CUGAUCGGCCACAUUGGGACUGAGACACGGCCCAAACUCCUACGGGAGGCAGCAGUAGNGAAUCUUCCACAAUGGNACG